UAACAUUUCUUACCCUAUGUGACAUUCCCCGCUCUGCUUUUUUGUUGCCGGUGCCAGCUGCCGGAAAGCUCUUUGGAUGCACACGGCAAAUGCUCUUGGGCAGACCCAGCAAGUAGCAAGGAUAUCCCUGGUGAGAGGAUUACAGAGGCAGGAUGUCACUCCCUAUCCCAGACCAAUGCAGUGAGGACCCGUAUUUUAUUUUAUUUUUUAAGGUUUAUUUAUUUUGAAAAAGAGAGAGCGAGAAAAACAGAGUGCAAGCAGGGGGGCGGCAGCGAGGGAGAGAGAGAAUCCCAAGCAGGCUCCGCGCUGUCCCGUCGGCGGGGAGCCUCACUUAGGCUCGACCUCACGGACCGUGAGAUCGCGACCUGAGCCAACAUCAAGAGUCGGACGCUCAACCGCCUGAGCCACCCAGACGCCCCGAGAACCUGUAUUUUAACAAGAUCCCUAGAUGAUUCAUAUGUGUGUUAAUGUUUGAUAGACCUGUAGGCCGGGUUGACCUGUAACUGUGUCUUCCAGCAAAAGUCCUAGAGAGCAGCACAGGACAGUAUUACAGAGUGAGGCAGGAGAGCCAAGAAGUUGGAUUAUAAAAUCAGAAUUCCCAGAGGUCUCCGACGGGCUGAAAUGAUAGGCCAGAACUCACGACGUGGAAAUGGGUGGAAGCAAACGGCAUAACAUCCUGCCCAGGUGCCAAAUGGGAGAGAGCGGGCCUGGAACCAGUUAAUGCAGAAAAGCUUUCGGUGAGCUACGGAUUUAAGCCAACAGUCGCCUAACUGGUGCCAAUGUACAAGAUGCUGUCAAAGUCCAGGGGAAGAUAUACGUCACAAGCCGAGUCAGGAAAG